AUGAACGCUAGCUACAGGCUUAACACAUGCAAGUCGAGGGGCAGCAUGAACUUAGCUUGCUAAGUUUGAUGGCGACCGGCGCACGGGUGAGUAACACGUAUCCAACCUGCCGAUGACUCGGGGAUAGCCUUUCGAAAGAAAGAUUAAUACCCGAUGGCAUAGUUCUUCCGCAUGGUGGAACUAUUAAAGAAUUUCGGUCAUCGAUGGGGAUGCGUUCCAUUAGGUUGUUGGCGGGGUAACGGCCCACCAAGCCUUCGAUGGAUAGGGGUUCUGAGAGGAAGGUCCCCCACAUUGGAACUGAGACACGGUCCAAACUCCUACGGGAGGCAGCAGUGAGGAAUAUUGGUCAAUGGACGAGAGUCUGAACCAGCCAAGUAGCGUGAAGGAUGACUGCCCUAUGGGUUGUAAACUUCUUUUAUACGGGAAUAAAGUGAGGCACGUGUGCCUUUUUGUAUGUACCGUAUGAAUAAGGAUCGGCUAACUCCGUGCCAGCAGCCGCGGUAAUACGGAGGAUCCGAGCGUUAUCCGGAUUUAUUGGGUUUAAAGGGAGCGUAGGCGGACGCUUAAGUCAGUUGUGAAAGUUUGCGGCUCAACCGUAAAAUUGCAGUUGAUACUGGGUGUCUUGAGUACAGUAGAGGCAGGCGGAAUUCGUGGUGUAGCGGUGAAAUGCUUAGAUAUCACGAAGAACUCCGAUUGCGAAGGCAGCUUGCUGGACUGUAACUGACGCUGAUGCUCGAAAGUGUGGGUAUCAAACAGGAUUAGAUACCCUGGUAGUCCACACAGUAAACGAUGAAUACUCGCUGUUUGCGAUAUACAGUAAGCGGCCAAGCGAAAGCGUUAAGUAUUCCACCUGGGGAGUACGCCGGCAACGGUGAAACUCAAAGGAAUUGACGGGGGCCCGCACAAGCGGAGGAACAUGUGGUUUAAUUCGAAGCAACGCGAAAAACCUUACCAAGACUUGAAAUCGAUGGAAUCCUUAAGAAAUUAGGGAGUGCCCUUCGGGGAACCAGAAGACAGGUGGUGCACGGCUGUCGUCAGCUCGUGUCGUGAGAUGUUGGGUUAAGUCCCGCAACGAGCGCAACCCUUAUCGAUAGUUACCAUCAGGUGAUGCUGGGGACUCUGUCGAGACUGCCGUCGUAAGAUGUGAGGAAGGUGGGGAUGACGUCAAAUCAGCACGGCCCUUACGUCCGGGGCUACACACGUGUUACAAUGGGGGGUACAGAAGGCAGCUACACGGCGACGUGAUGCUAAUCCCGAAAGCCUCUCUCAGUUCGGAUUGGAGUCUGCAACCCGACUCCAUGAAGCUGGAUUCGCUAGUAAUCGCGCAUCAGCCACGGCGCGGUGAAUACGUUCCCGGGCCUUGUACACACCGCCCGUCAAGCCAUGAAAGCCGGGGGUACCUGAAGUGCGUAACCGCAAGGAGCGCCCUAGGGUAAAACUGGUGAUUGGGGCU
rnacentral:rRNA from 1 species